GAGAGAGCUCCCUGUUUUUCCUGUGCCUGCUGGCCCUGAGGAAAUGUGCCUGUGAAACUCUCCAAGGCAAUCUCUCUCCUUGUGUCAGGAGCCAGCUCAAACCCCACACGCUGUUCAAGGGAUUUACCCAGGACAGACGUGUGGCUGUGCAUUGUUCUCAGCAGAAAGAGUGAAUACCUGAAUUCCAAUCUUCGAUUAAUGGCUAAGUGCACUUCUGGGAAGGGUAAACAGAACAGCAAAGGCCUGGAUCCCCAGGCAAGAAGCACACAGCAAUCAAAACCAGAAAGAAGAAAAGUGGCUGAGACCCUGAGCUGUGAUUGACCUCCUUGGAGUUGUUUGGGUACAGAUGAUGAAGCUGGAAUCAUGAAAUGAGCACAAACACAGGAAUGAGCUCUUGCUGCUGAAUCUGCUGCCAAAGCUGUAAUGCAGCACCAGUUUCUUCUGCAUUGUGGUCUGUGAGCAUUACCUCAUCCAGAGCAGUCUGAAAGCACACAAAGCAGGGAACAUCUCGCUGAAGGAGGUAGAAGGAAGUGUUGCAUCAGUUCUGCACAAGCAAGUCAGGGGUCUUUCCUCUCCUGCAAUAGCACACACCUGCUGGUUGCAUGUAUAGCAGCUACUACCCAUUAUCUCUUCUGUGCAAUUGCAGGUCCUCAAGGCAUUGCUAUGUGCAGUUCCAGUGACCUGAGUGGAGGAUUUGAGCUGCCUCUACCAGACCCGU
rnacentral:lncRNA from 1 species